rnacentral:rRNA from 1 species
ACAGUAUCGUUCGAGAGUUUGAUCCUGGCUCAGGAUUAACGCUGGCGGCAUGCCUAAUACAUGCAAAUCGAACGAAGCCUUUUUGGCUUAGUGGUGAACGGGUGAGUAACACGUAUCCAAUCUACCUAAUUUGGGAUAACUAGUCGAAAGAUUAGCUAAUACCGGAUAAUAACAUUUACUUGCAUGAGUGAAUGUAGAAAGUUGCGUUUGCAACGCUUUUGGAUGAGGGUGCGACGUAUCAGAUAGUUGGUGAGGUAACGGCUCACCAAGUCAUUGACGCGUAGCUGUACUGAGAGGUAGAACAGCCACAAUGGUACCGAGACACGGCCCAU